GUGGAGGUGAUGAUUAUUUCCCAAAUGAUCGGGUCAAUACACCGAGCGAUUUUUCCCAAUAUAUUUCGGGAGUCCAAGCCGAUUUCCGAUCUAU